AAAAAUCAGCUAUAUUUUCGCACGAAAAAAAGGAAUCAGAUGGACUUGAAGUGUUCUCCUGAAACAAAAAUAACAAGUGUUCAGUAAUAACCAGUACUGACUAAUUAUGUACAAGAGAAGGAGAAUCGUACUGAUAAGUAUCUAGAAGGUAAACGUAACCCUGGGGAAUAAAUGCAGCUUGUCUCUAUCUUGUGUUUUCAUUUGCUUUCUUCAAUCAGCUGUCUGGCUUCUCUCAUCAUUUCUUUUCUAGCUUCUCUUAGUCACUUGAGUGAAGGUAAAGAUUUACCUUGGCGGCUGCAAUCUGAUGAUAGAACUUUUUUAUUUCUGAAUCAAAUAACCUCAGAUGAAAACUAUAACACAACCUUAAGUAAAACAGAAGUUCAUUAGAUUCAGGUAGAAUAAAUUAGGCUUGAGAUCACCUCAUGCCACACCCGGCUACGACAUAAACAGAAACAACACUGAAAAUCAGUAAUUUCUCAGCUCCUCCUCAUGGAUUAUAGUAGCUAGUGGACAACGUACAAAGUGGAUUAAAGAACACAAAACUGUUUCCCAACAAAUAUGUGUUGAAGUAUUGUAGAAAUUAGACUCCAAGGGCUCAAACACAAAACUGGAUUCUGCCCCAGAGUUUUAUUCUAUCAGGUUAGCACUUGAGGCAGACACUUUCCAUUCCGUGAAAAUCAAAUGGACAUUAUGAAUUCGAAAACAAUGAUUCGCUUGAACCCAAAAGAAAACAAACUAACGACAUAAUAAAGUAGUAACCUACUCCAAAAGGAAACAAGACCAUUAGUAAAAGCAAUAAAUGCCUACUCUUCUUGCCAUUUGCAAUAACAGGCUGCAGGUUACUUUUCAGAAUACUAUCACGCAAAUCAGAUUCUGAUUAACCUCCUUUAAAUUUCUUUGAGCUAAGUUGGCUAAUUGUUUUCCCUAAGACGAGCUCGUGCAACGAAGUCCAACUAAAUCGGAUCAUUUCACAACUGCAGGUAGAUCAAUCAUACAAUCACCGUAACUUAUCCUAUUCUGAGUUUCUGACACACCGUAUCAAAGAAUUGGGUCAAAGAGUUAUACAUACAAGAAAGGAACAAGUAAGAUUCCUCCUAAAGUCACGAGAACAAAAAUAACCAUAACCUUUUGAGGCACCUGGGGGUCCUCUCAUCCUCUGCCUGGUUAAUAUGGGCGAGAUCUGGAUGUUGGGGCGACUAGUGGCACUCAGGUAGGGAAAUUGCAAUCGAGAUGCUCAAUGCUGCCCAGGACACCGGACAUGGUGCAGGCCAAACACCAUGCUAUGAGA
rnacentral:lncRNA from 1 species